rnacentral:rRNA from 1 species
CCUACGUGAGGCAGCAGUGGGGGAUAUUGCACAAUGGGGGAAACCCUGAUGCAGCGACGCCGCGUGUGGGAAGACGGUCCUCUGGAUUGUAAACCACUGUCCCCAGGGACGAAGAUGACGGUACCUGGGGAGGAAGCUCAGGCUAACUACGUGCCAGAAUCCGCGGUAAUACGUAGGGAGCGAGCGUUGUCCGGAAUUACUGGGUGUAAAGGGAGCGUAGGCGGGACUGCAAGUUGGGUGUCAAAUCUACCGGCUCAACCGGUAGCCGCACUCAAAACUGCAGUUCUUGAGUGAAGUAGAGGCAGGCGGAAUUCCGAGUGUAGCGGUGAAAUGCGUAGAUAUUAGGAGGAACACCAGUGGCGAAGGCGGCCUGCUGGGCUUUUACUGACGCUGAGGCUCGAAAGUGUGGGGAGCAAACAGGAUUAGAUACCCGUGUAGUC